GUCUGGUUGCCAGGAGACGCCUGGUGUCUCGGUGCGGGUCGUAGUUGCAAGGGGCUGCCCGCUUUGUUUUCGGUGGACACAACAUCUUUAUUUUAUUUUUAUGUGGUGUUGAGGAUCGAACCCAGUGCUCCGCGCAUGCCAGGCGAGCGCACUACCGUCUGAGCCACAUCCCCAGCCCCUAGGCUGUGCUUUUCUUCAUUGCGAGGUCAGCUCAGCAAAAGGGAGUUGGACUCAUCCAGAAGAGGUUCAGGAAAACAAAGUUUUCGGCAGACACAACAUCUUUGUUUGUAUGUGGUGCUGAGGAUCGAACCCGGGCCGCACGCAUGCCAGACGAGUGUGCUACCGCUUGAGCCACAUCCCCAGCCCAUGUUUUUCUAAUUAAUAAAUCUUGUUAUUAAAAUUUCCCCAUUCAUAUUA